UUCCAGAUGUUGCUAAACUACAACUCCCAUAAUUCUAUUAAUGAAAAAGAGAAUCAUGGGAGUUGUAAUUUAGCAACAUCUGGAG